AUUGAACGCUGGCGGCAGGCUUAACACACGCAAGUCGAGCGGAGAUGAGGUGCUUGCACCUUAUCUUAGCGGCGGACGGGUGAGUAAUGCUUAGGAAUCUGCCUAUUAGUGGGGGACAACAUUCCGAAAGGAAUGCUAAUACCGCAUACGUCCUACGGGAGAAAGCAGGGGAUCUUCGGACCUUGCGCUAAUAGAUGAGCCUAAGUCGGAUUAGCUAGUUGGUGGGGUAAAGGCCUACCAAGGCGACGAUCUGUAGCGGGUCUGAGAGGAUGAUCCGCCACACUGGGACUGAGACACGGGCCAGACUCCUACGGGAGGCAGCAGUGGGGAAUAUUGGACCAUGGGGGGAACCCUGAUCCAGCCAUGCCGCGUGUGUGAAGAAGGCCUUAUGGUUGUAAAGCACUUUAAGCGAGGAGGAGGCUACUGAGACUAAUACUCUUGGAUAGUGGACGUUACUCGCAGAAUAAGCACCGGCUAACUCUGUGCCAGCCGCCGCUGUAACAC
rnacentral:rRNA from 1 species